CUACGGGAGGCACCAGUGGGGAAUAUUGCACAAUGGGCGCAAGCCUGAUGCAGCCAUGCCGCGUGUAUGAAGAAGGCCUUCGGGUUGUAAAGUACUUUCAGCGGGGAGGAAGGGAGUAAAGUUAAUACCUUUGCUCAUUGACGUUACCCGCAGAAGAAGCACCGGCUAACUCCGUGCUAGCAGCCGCGGUAAUACGGAGGGUGCAAGCGUUAAUCGGAAUUACUGGGCGUAAAGCGCACGCAGGCGGUUUGUUAAGUCAGAUGUGAAAUCCCCGGGCUCAACCUGGGAACUGCAUCUGAUGUUGCGAAGUGUGAGGCGCGGAGAGGGGGGUAGAUGCCGAGGGUGAGGGGGGACAUGCGGAGAGAGCGGGAGGAAGACCGGUGGAGAAGGCGGCCCCAUGGACGAAGAGUGACGCUCAGGGGCGAAAGCGUGGGGAGCAAACAGGAUUAGAGACCCGAGUAGUC
rnacentral:rRNA from 1 species